UACGUAGGUGACAAGCGUUGUCCGGAUUUACUGGGCGUAAAGAGCGCGCAGGCGGUCGAUCAAGUCGAGUGUGAAAGCCCCCGGCUCAACUGGGGAGGGUCAUUCGAUACUGAUCGACUCGAAGGCAGGAGAGGGUAGUGGAAUUCCCGGUGUAGUGGUGAAAUGCGUAGAUAUCUGGAGGAACACCGGUGGCGAAGGCGGCAUCCUGGACCAACACUGACGCUGAUGAGCGAAAGCCAGGGGAGCAAACGGG
rnacentral:rRNA from 1 species